AUCCAUCACUACUGACCCCUGGAGGAGGACUGGUCACAAUAAGAGCUUGAAUAGCUAUAGGGUCCUCAGAGGGGAAGGAAAAACUCCAGUCACAGGCAGCCUGCUGAGUGAAAGGUCUCAAAGUGUCUUUCAUUGGCAUCUAAUAAGCAGCCGUAAUUAGAUUUCAUGACCGGGCUCUCUUCCAGGAAACUGAGGAAAAUGGAACUAAAUGACAUGUCCAGGGGGACACAGUUGGUAGAUGUUUAAAGAUGAGGAAACUGAGGAAAAAAGAAGUUAAAGGAUUUUCUCCCAGUCCUCUCCCAGUCACAUAGCAGAUAAGUAUAGAAGAAUAAGAUUGAAACACAAAUUCCUGGAUUUCUAGAACACAUUAGCCAUGACUAAGCUUAAAUAUAUGUCAUCUCUGUCCA